rnacentral:lncRNA from 1 species
AAUAAUUUCUAAACAUUUUUAUUUCAAAUCUCUUUUCACCCCUCCCCAAAAAGACAUGGGUAGGUACAGCAAUCAUAAAAAGGAGAUACAAACACAAGAGUCAAAUGUCUCUCGCACUGACACUUACAAAAAACUGGGAAUUGUACAUGGGGUUUCCAAACAGGACCUGCAGCAGCUACUAACGUCCCUUUACGAGAGUCAAACAUGCCUAUUAAUACAGUAUAUACAGACACCCCAUUCUGGAACUAAUCUACAGGGACAUCCCUAACCCCACCCCCUCUAUCCCCAGAAAAAUACCAAAACACACCCAAAGUGCAUUUGUUUUGUUUAUAUCAAAACCUCUUUCCCUUUCCCCAUCCCACCCUCAGACCCCUCCCACCCCAUUUAAGAUUGGCCUGCAAGUCUAUUUUAACCAUUUAGUAUUUUUUUAUAGUUUAUGAAAAUAAAUUAUACAGCAACUAUUUUAAUAAAUUAAGCACAAAAGGAAGGGUAAAAGAGGAAAACUAAAUGGGAAGACAAAAGCCAGGCCACGCUUUGGCUUGGAGGAGGGCAGAGGGGGGGCUAACGGAGACAGAAGUGGUUGCAAGGGGUGGCUCCCUUUCUGGUGAAAAAUUGGCAACCACCCCGAGCCCAGAAUGACACCCCUCUUCAUCGAGUUUCUUAAAAACAACCAAAAACGUACAGCAGUGGCUAUGCCACAGGCAGCACCAGUGUGGGCAUUCCAACAGCCAGCUACCCAAAGUGGCACCUGGACCCUACCUGUCCCUUGGACAGGUUCUGGGCCUAAGAGUGAGGGACAGGUCCCCGCCCAAGGGAGCACCAGAGAUGGAGGAGUGAGAGCAGGCUUCUGCUCCACCUGAGCUGGUUAGGGAGCUCAGGACGAAACUCUGAGCGGGGCAGUGUGGUAUGUGAUGAUCCCAGAGUCUGAGGAAGAGUGUCCUAAGUUCCUCACACUCUAUCUCCAGGAGGAACUACGAUCGCAGUCCAGCUGCAACCAAACAUGCAUGUCUUCCCGCCGUGGCUGGCUGCUUUCUGUCUGCCCCUCCAGGCCUCUUGGUGUUGCAGAGGAGGGGGUAGGAGAGGGAAAGGGAACGGUUCCAGGUCACCUCUAAACCCUCUAGAAAUGAAAUGGGAAUGAAGCAGGUCACAAACUCAGCAUGCAGGGCUGGCUUCCCGGGAGGUAGAUGGGAGUGGGACGGGAUAGCAGGUGUGGAGAGGACAGGAAGGGAAACAGGAAGAAACUGAGCGACACCUGCCAGGAAGGUCAAGAAGCAAUGAAAAGGACAAAGACAAUAUGAAAUCUGCAUGAAAAGACAGGUCCUUUUCUGGCAGAUUAGAGAAUCAACAUUUUCAGUACAACUCAUAACGCUACUUUCCUAACUGCAGUACCCGAGUCCCCAGCGCCUGUCUCUAUGAUCCAACCCCCAUUUCACUGCUCCCAAGACUUUGCUCUCCAUUUUAUCAAGGCCUCCAAUCAUUUUGUGCUGAGUGUGAAGGCUCCAAUGUGAAAGCAGGGUCUACCACAGGGACGUGCAGACUUGACCUUUGUGACCCAAUCAUUUUAUAGCUAUCGCAGCAUAGGAGGGGGGCACACUUUUCUUUCUUUUUUUUUUCUUUUUCUUUUUUUAAUAAAAAAGGUUUUACUCCCCAGGAGCAAAUAAAUCAUUUUGAACUACUGAUAAACACUGCUGCAGUGAAAAGAAAGAUGGCUACAUGUAUGCAAUAGCACAAAUUCAGUGGAAGAACAGCUGUGUUGACGAUUAGAGAUAAAAAUCACUUAUCCAUUCCCUCCUUUCCCACAAACCAAACCGAGGAUUCCCAUAGGGAAAAUGUCUAACUCAAUAGCUCCUCCCUUACAUGACAGGGGGUGUGUCAUUCUCUUAACAGUGGAAAACAAAUGCCAGGUCUCCGCCCAGUGGAGAUGCUCUUAACACCCUAACUGGUAGCAAGACUUCUGCAAAUGAGGACACACACACACACACACAUGCAUGCAUAUGCACACACACAGACUCAGACCUCCUUCCAGCAGCCAUAGAGCUUUAUCCCAGUGUCUUGUCCACUAACUUUAGGGCUCCAAAGCUAAGGGAGCGAGGCAGCAGGGAAGGGAAAGAUCUAACUGAAGGAAAAAGCUCCUCCUCGCCCCAGUUUCUGCAGGGAGCAGAGGGCUUCAAGCAGGCCAUGCUUUCCUGGGGGCCCUGGGGUGAGGGCUGACACGGCUGGAUUCCAGGGCACUUCUGGUUCUACUCCCACCUCUCACCCCUAGACCUAGGAACUAUAAUUACCCCCACUCCCUAAUUCUUCCUGGAUGUCUGUUACAGGGGUGUCUGCAGCUAUCUCCACACCAUCCCCAACCUCAAGGGGGGCUUACAUCAUUAGCCCAAGUGAAAUGUAGGGAAGGGGAAGGAGCAGGAGCCAUGCAGGAGUUUCCUUUGGCCACACCUUUCUCCUCAGGGAGGUGGCGCCACCUCCAUGGCUCAGGUUCCAAGAUGUAACAUUCACUUGGCCUAGGCACAGGCAGGUGACCAGGCAAAGGUCAGCACCAAUGGUCCCAAAGAGCCGGUUGCCACCCACUUACCUAGUGCCCACACCAAAACCCCCGCCCGCCUACUCCUGUGCUACCAACAUAGCACACGAAUUUCAAGUAACAGCAAGUUGUAGCAGUAGUUGUCACUGGCUCACAGCAGCUCACUCUCAACCUGAGGAAGGUUACAGUAGAUCAGUCAUAAACAGGUGAGGGUUAUGCAGGCACUGAGGCCACUGAUAUCACCCACCCACAACUUAGGAAUCAACAGUGGGUCCCUAGAUGUAAGCCUUUUCCAAUUUGUGACUUGAAAAUACAACCAGAAAGAAAUUAUUUAUUUUUUUUGAGAUGGAGUCUCACUCUGUCGUCUAGGCUAGAGGGCAGUGGCGCAAUCUCGGCUCAGUGCAACCUCCGCCUCCUGGGUUCAAGCAAUUCUCCUGUCUCAGCCUCCCAAGUAGCUGGGACUACAGGCGCAUGCCACCAUGCCCAGCUAAUUUUUGUAUUUUAGUAGAGAUAGGGUUUCACUGUUUGGCCAAGCUGGUCUUGAACUCCCGACCUCAUGAUCCACCCACCUCAGCCUCCCAAAGUGCUGGGAUUACAGGCGUGAGCCACCGCGCCCAGACCUAGAAAGGAAUACAUUUAAAUGAGCUCUGCACAGCACUGGCGAAGGAGGGACGGGCCUGGUCAGGGAGGUGAAGGGCAGGUGCUGCCACACCUGCUCCUCUGCUCCAUUUACUCUCUGACCAGGCUGUAUCCCAGAGAGCUGGCCCAGCCCCAUGCCUCCCCCUCAUCUUCCCCUAACUGCUCUGUGCAAGGCCACCCAUGCAGGCACCAAACACCCACACCUGACGAAGACUGUCUCCUCUUGCGCUGCUGUUUUGCAGCCCACUCCACAGAGAAAGGACUAGGCUGCGGCCAGGGCUGGGACCAGUGCACUGACACAGACACAGUUCAACACGACACUCCCCAGGAGGAGAAAGGUGGGUGGUGAGGUUGGGUCACACCUCCUCAGUUGGUUUGUUUUGUACCUGAAUGUAUGAGUUCUCCAGAAGAAACCCCAGUAACACAGGGGGUGCAGAGGCUCUGCCUCCCUCACAUGGCCUGAGCUGACCAUAGUGAGGCCCUGGCAAUGGGCAGGAGCCUUGCUGACUCCUUUGGGCUUUGGGCUCCACCUCACCAUCAUAACCCCUUGGCACUCAGGUCUGCCUGGUGGCUGGGAAGCUUCCAUCUAGAAAACCGCACUGGAAAGGAUUCUUUAACCAUGUUGCUCUAACAGGGCUGUGCACUGUUCAGUACAUGCCAUGCAGAUUUCUGCUUCCUUGCUUUUGCUCAUGUGUUUUUCAUCUCACUGUCUGUCCUGCCAUUGACUACAACCCAAAGCCUCAGAGGCACAGAACUUUCCCAGACCAUCUGGUCUACCCUGAUCUUAUCUACUAUAAACGUCUUUAGAUAGUCCUUGAUUUUCUGCUUGAUGUGCAGCAGUCACCUAAAAGCUCCCUUAGGCCACAUAUUACGUCUUUUACCUUUUUUGUUUUCUACAAUAUCUAGCGCAAAGCCAGGCACACACACACUAAAAAAUAAUAUUAAAAUUAUGGGUGGUUGAAAAGGAACAAAAAAAAGAAAGAUCCCAGGCUGUAUAUCAGCCACCCAAGGAUCUCAACAGAUUCCAACUUCAGGCUCUAUAUUGGGGUGGCACUUCCUGCAAGAUGGCGAGUUAUAUUACUUGUACUCUCACGAGGCAACACUCACAUGCUAAGCCAAUUUCUGGGAUCACAAUCUUGCUUAGUUGAUAAUACUACCAUGGAAGCCAAGGAAAGAAGAGGUACCACAUGACAAAUCAGAGGUGGGCUGUGUUUAUGGUGCACAGCUCAUCUUGUGGGCCACCCUUCCACAGUCAGGUAAUGGUGCAAGUUUCCUCCCUGUUCAGCUACAAGGAGGAAGACUGGUCACUCCACGUGGGACUAAGGAAGAAGGCAAUGCUCCCAGAUGAGGCAGUCCUAUAAAUUACCAGGACACUGGGGCCCCACCCAAACCAUCAGGAAGCCACAAACCUGACAUUAGUAUCUGUCUUGUGACACGAGGCAACUAUAAGCAUGGGGAACCCAGAAAGAGAGUCCCAUGGAACACACGCAAAGGAGUCAUGAAGACCCAACAGCUCCACUGUUACAUCUCAAUAGCAAACCUCUCCCCAGAGCAGCUCUAUAAGAAAGCAAACUCACAAUGUCAUAUGAAUUGGCCAUGGCCAGCUGCAGAAACCAUUAAAGACCAUUGGAGUUUUUCUCCCCGCUCCUCCUGAAAGCAGGGACAGGAAGAGCACAACUGUGGGAGCUGUAUUUCUCACCUUCCUCCACAUUCCCCCUCACAAGCUGACAGGCACAUGGAAGUAACACUCACUCCUAAGUCAUGAGUACAGUUUGCCAUGAAGAACCUGGAAACAUGCUCCAUUAAAUUCAGCAGCCCAUGACUGGCUCUGAACCGCCCAGGUGAUGGGAAACACGAUUGCCAUGACAGCUGGCAGAAGCAAUAGGGAUGCUGUUACCAUGAUCAGAGUGACAUGUACAGUUAUCUCAAGGGGCAAUGGGUUGAGAGCAGAGGAAGAACGGGGUUAACUUCAGGUCAUGGAACUUAAGGAAUUAAGUAAAUCACAACUAGUACAGCUUCCAUGAGAGGUGUUUCUGAACUCAGGUUCCUAAACCUUAAAAAAGGAUGCAGGAGUCACUACUUCUCCCAGCUAAGGCCAAUUGGCUAGGUUUUGCCCAAUAUUCUUUUCGAGACCACCCACCCUCCUUUCUCUCCUGCUCCUACAACAGCUGCCCAUGGCAACAAGAGGCAGAUUCCCCCUUCCUCAGGAACUCCCAGUCCUUUGCAAACCUCAAGCCCCUCCUCCCAUCUUCCAGGCCCACAGCACAGACUCUAACUCUGCCUUUGGCACCAGCUGAAUGGCCGUCCCCUGUUCCCUCCUCCCACCCCUUCUUUGGACCUGCUCACCCUUCGCACCACUUUCAAUCCAACGGGCACAAACCCCAACUGCCUUCAAGGUGAGUUUUCCAUACCAAGUAAUAUAAAUAUCAAAAACAAAACUUCUGAAAAAGAAACAGUGUUGAGACUUCUUCCAGUUUUCCAAGGAGCCCCUCCAGUCCUAAGAUGCCCAGGGGUGGGUGUGAGGUGGAG